rnacentral:rRNA from 1 species
GCGAUGCCGCGAGGCGGAGCGAAUCUCAAAAAGCCGGUCUCAGUUCGGAUUGGGGUCUGCAACUCGACCCCAUGAAGUCGGAGUUGCUAGUAAUCGCAGAUCAGCAUUGCUGCGGUGAAUACGUUCCCGGGCCUUGUACACACCGCCCGUCACGUCACGAAAGUCGGUAACACCCGAAGCCGGUGGCCCAACCCCUUGUGGGAGGGAGCUGUCGAAGGUGGGACUGGCGAUUGGGACGAAGUCGUAACAAGGUAGCCGUACCGGAAGGUGCGGCUGGAUCACCUCCUUUCUAAGGAG